AUGGAGUCGGUGAGCAGCUGGACCUCACAGACAAAUACAUGGCAGCACUGCAACUCUAUAGCCGAGACCUGGAGCUUGUCAGUAAUCUCUAUCAAAAGAAGAAGGACAACCAUCCCAUCCCUCAAAACAUGCCUCCUGUUACAGGAAAUGCUGCAGGACUUUGAAGCAGUUUUAUCCGGGACCCCUCCCUUCCUUCUGCCCCUGAUGAAGCCCUUCAUCAGCCGCAUGGAGAGUUCUCUCUCCUCAUGGGUCACCACUCUCUCCUGGAACAACACCCACAGAUUGUCACAUCAGGCUACAGGCCAUGUCAUCCACUGCCCUGCUAAUGCUGCCCGAAGAUAUGCCCAUUUCAUCCCAGACCAUCCAGUGCCAAGCUGAGGACACAGUGAGGUCUGCUGGGUAGACACUGAGCUCCACAAGUCACACAAAAAGAGAUUUCUAUGUAGGAGAUGAUUUGAGGAUCUGAGGAAGAAGACGACGCCAGCAGAAACAGUCAACCUGGAGGUAGGUUAAUGUGAUCGACUGGGUUCAAACCUGGAUUUCCUGCAAGCAUGCGACAAACCUGUUUAAGCCCGCUGGGCUAAAGCCUAGGCAUUAGCUCGGGGAAGCUAAUGUCUUCAUGUCUCAAAACAAGUUACUCAUCACGGGAGCGUGGUUCAGUGAACUACCUCCGUUGGUUUAGACAUAAACAUCCAACAACACCUAUCAGCAACACACUAACUCUCCAGGCUCUACACCCGGAUGCUAAACAGAAGACACUUUGCCAGUUGUGUCUACCCUGUCGCUAUUACAACCUGAUGGCUCAGCUAUGCCAGAGGAACACAUAGGCCCUGGUCAAAGCUGAGAGAGGACAUUUAUUCAGAUUGACUUUUGACAUGUGAGGUCAUCAGGGUUGGACUCAACUCUGUUUGGCUCAAUCAAACCAAGACAUGCAACAAUUGAAUGAAAUUAUACACAUUGGCAACAGUUAGUUGCUUAUGAGUACCACAACCACCAUAAAUUGAAGUAUUUUUUUUCCUAGAAUAAUUUAUAUUUUCAUAGCUCCGAGGUCAUCCAUUGAUUCUGAGACAAAAACUUCAUGUGGUGAGCUCCAAGUACCAGUCGCACUCUUACCUGAGUCGACCACAGGUCCAGGUUCCUUUGCUCAAGGCCUCUAUUCAGCUGGCCAUUCCCAACAUUGUCCUCAGGCACCAGUCUGAAAGACAUGAAGGUACUCCUUCACACAUUUAAAGAGAGAGUUCAACUUUCUCCAGUCUCCAUCACAAGCAUCUCCAGGUAGGAUUCCUGAAUUGUGUUACUAUCAGGUCUUUCAUUAUAAUUACUCAUUCCUUAAAUAUUGUUAAAAUAAUAAUUUAAGAAGUGAUCUAAAUUGGGGUCUUUCUUUGUGCCACUCCAUUGAUUCCAUUCAAGCCAUUACAAUGAGCCCGUCCUCCUAUAGCUCCUCCCACCAGCCUCCUCUGUCAUCAAUAGUAUUCACUGUGCAAACACUAGUCUGCACCAUGAAAAUUGGAAAAUAGUAUUGAAUAGUUGUCUGUGGUUUUUACCUGUAUUUUCAAUACUCAAAACAGGGCAAGAAUGUCCAAAGGUAAACAGAGUGAAAGAGGAAAAGAGAGUGCAUCUCUAGGCCUACUUUAGUUCUUUAAUCUUGGUUACCCAGAAGCAAAAUGAUCUUGUGAAGGUUUGUUAUUUCUUGUUUUAUUCUGGGGGGGGGGGGGGGCGUUAACAAUUGUGAUUACCUUUGUACAAAGGAAGGAAGCGAAGUCUCCUUCCUCGUAAAUGGAAACUCUUGGCCGUUUCAUCUGUCCACGAGAAAUGAGUUCUUCCCAGGACCCAGAGGUGCAGGUGAAAGCCUUCUUGGACACCAGUCCAUCCCUCCCAGUGUUCACCACUCAAAUUGUCUCCUACUCU
rnacentral:lncRNA from 8 species